UCCUCCCGUUGUUUCAUUUGUUUCCUUGAUUUGGGGACGGUAGCAGAAUGUCGGUGACAAAUAGAAAAUUCUCCAGCAAUCAUGCUUUUGCAAAAGUUGUCGGAGGCUAUUUGGUUGGACCAAAUGAAGCGAACAAGUCAGUUCCCAGUCUGCCGACUCAGGUGGUUUGAUCAAUUAAACCCAACGAAAAUCGCGCGAGCCUUUGCGUUUCGGCUAAUUUUGUUCACCGUAACCAUUGAAAGAUAGCCCGAAUUCAUCCAUGAAGGAACGUCUUCAACUUAUAACCUUUUUCUUUUUCUCUUUUUUUGUCGUUGUUAGAGAAGCUCUUCUUGUUUUCAACUCUCUGAAGCUUUUUGUAAUAAAUCCUUCACAAAUAAAUUAUAGUUUAUGUCGCAAUCAGAGAAGAAUUCGUACAUUUCUCUUCGAUGAACUGGUAGAUCUGGCGAUGAUUCACAAGAGUCGCCUUGUGUACCCGCCGAUUGAGAGCCUUGGUUCUUAUAAAGCUACUUUGAAACAGAGGUCUUGACUGGGAGAACUCUCACACAUGCUCUGUCAUCUCCCUCCUUCGACAUUCUACUGCAAAAGUUUGAGGAUCAAUGGCUCCCAGAAAGGAAAGUGAACCGAAUGUUUCUAAAAAGAAACAUUUCAAGUUUUUGGACAGAAGGGUUGAGAAAAAUGGGAUGAAAGAGCUGAAACACUUAGAGGCAGUGCUUAAAGCGCUUUUGAAACGCCAAGCAAAGCUUCAGGCAAAACUGGACCGUCCUGGAGAACGUAAACCAACAAUGGAACAACUCCAAAGAGUGAAUGAUCAGCUGGCAAGGUUCAAUGCUUGGACCCAACAAUACAUUGAAACUAAGCUAGCUGACUCUGCUUGGGAUGCAUCAAACAAAGGCGUUUGACAGCUUUUGUCAUCCUCUCUCUAGAAACAUCUCUGCCGAGAAGAAUACUCAAAUAAAAAACUAGCGAAGUUUGGUCCCAUUGGUGUGAAAUUGGUCUCUCUCUUCCUUUUGCUUUUCUAUAAUAGACAAUUACUUGCAAGUUGCAAUAUGUAAAGCACAAUACCACUGUGCUUGCUUGUCUGUUGUGCUUUUAGUUUGAUCGAACUUUUAAUCAUGGUGUAACUUAGAUUCUCUUACGCCUUGUUACAUUGCACGUUUAUAACUUGUUUUUUUUUUUUUUCACCUGGAUUAAAUAUCUAUUAUGACUUGGUUAAGUA